UAAAUACUUCCUCCGUUCCAAAUUACUUGUCGCUGAAAUGGAUGUAUCUAAAACUAAAAUACAUCUAGAUACAUCCAUACGUGCGACAAGUAAUUCGGAACGGAGGGAGUAUUUG
rnacentral:pre_miRNA from 1 species